UAGAGUCAUUCGGGGUAACAGCACGCGGUGGGUAAAAGUACGCGGUGGUCCGAUCUCCGACAGGGGUGGGGGAGCCGAGGUCUGUGUUUGUAAAAUAGAGUGGCGCUACUGUCGCCGUUUAGGAGCCACGCGCCGCGCCGACGCAAUCUAAGUACUGGUCGCGACACGUCGCCGAAUACUUGUAGCACGCUUAUUUCGUUUAAUUUUUAUGCCACGGAAAAGUGUGCUGUAGUUAAAUGGAUAGCUCUGUGCCAAAUACCUACACCAAAAUGCCGAGAAAUUACAUAAGGAAGGCCCCUCAGCGGACCCUCAUCUCAUCUCAAUGAUGACCAAAUAAUGAAGGCCAAUUAUUUUGAUCUCAAAGUGUGACUAUUGCCAAUAUAAAUAAUUUAAGACAAGAUUCACAUUAUAAUAGAUACAGGGUGGAAUUUUGUAAUGCCACCUGGAGGGAAAGUACUCUUAGUAAUGUAGAGGAAUCGAACCAACUAAAAUUUGUUAAAAAUUA